rnacentral:rRNA from 1 species
GACAGUGUCAGGCGGGGAGUUUGACUGGGGCGGUACAUCUGUUAAAUAAUAACGCAGGUGUCCUAAGGUUAGCUCAGUGAGGACAGAAACCUCACGUAGAGUAAAAGGGCAAAAGCUAACUUGAUCUAUGACCUUCAGUACUGGUAUAGACCGCGAAAGCGUGGCCUAUCGAUCCUUUUGUUGUUCUUAAACGGUUGACAGUUUCAAGCAAGAGGUGUCAGAAAAGUUACCACAGGGAUAACUGGUAGCGCUAAGGCUUAAUGUGGCUGUUGCAAAAUGGUCAAUCAAAGACAACAUUAAGCGGUGCAGCGUUACAAACUCUGGUGUUUGUAGUGUCAAUGUAUCAGAUCGGGCAACUGGUCUGCGUACUUUCGGCCUAGCGUACAAGUCCCAUUGACUUGGGCUUAUUCUUCAAUUGAGAUGUCUACGCGUUUGGGGCAAAACCUGGGUGCGUGGAUGAGCCAAAGAGGGUGAAAGUCCCUUAAUGCGCGGGUAUUGAUGCUACUAAUCAGAGCAGUGGCGUCUGGUAAAACAGGCGCUGCGGUUUAUUAGAGUCGGGUUGCUUGAGAGUGCAACCUAAAGAGCGAGGUAAACUGCUCGUAAGGCUAUGUAAAUACGGCUACGACACCGAUAGCAAACAAGUACCGUGAGGGAAAGUUGCAAAGUACUUUGAAGAGAGAGUUAAACAGGGCGUGAAACCGCUAGCUGGUAAAACCCGUCUUGAAACACGGACCAAGGAGUGUAGGAGGGUUGUGUUGGUAGCGUUGAAGGCUAUGAGGGAGUGAUCCUGGCUGGAGCUGCCAAUAGUACAGAUCUUGGUGGUAGUAGCAAAUACUCAAGUGAGACCCUUGAGGGCCAAUGUGGAGAAGGGUUCCAUGCUAACAGCAAUUGGACAUGGGUCAGUCGGUGAAUCAGGUUAAUAUUCCUGAACCAAGAUGAGGAGAUGGCACGGACCACGGGAAUCCGACUGUCUAAUUAAAACAAAGCAUUGCGAUGGCCUAAGAUUGUGGUGUUGACGCAAUGUGAUUUCUGCCCAGUGCUAUGAAUGUCACAGUGAAGAAAUUCAUCUAAGCGCUAGUAAACGGCGGGAGUAACUAUGACUCUCUUGUGGUAGCCAAAUGCCUCGUCAUCUAAUUAGUGACGCGCAUGAAUGGAUUAACGAGAUUCCCACUGUCCCUAUCUACUACCUAGCGAAACCACAGCCAAGGGAACGGGCUUGGCAAAAUCAGCGGGGAAAGAAGACCCUGUUGAGCUUGACUCUAGUCUGGCUUUACGCGGAGUAUGAGCAGUGCGCAAGUAAUGCUUAUACGUUGCGAGUGGAGCCACGAAGUCGUUUCGUAGAAUACGGGGCGCAAAUUCAGCCAGGGUCCUCGCGGGCUCUAGCGUAUUUUUGCUUGUUUCCCGCUACUGUAAGCGUACACUGCAACCAAUUAGACGGCCAAACGUGGAAACAGUUUGCAAGUCAUGCAAGGAAACUUGUUGCUUGUAAGCGUAUACACUUGUGCAUUCACUGUAGGUAGCCUGGUUAGAGUCUUUGUUGUAUUCUAUUAUCGGGUGUCUGACAUAUCGUGUGAUGCGUGAACUACGUUUGGGUACUGAUUGGCGCAAAGAAAAUCGAAUCGCAAGAUUCGUUUAUUCAUAGAAAGCGGCCAACAUCGUCAGGUGGGUACAAUUGCGCGCCGCUAGUCUAAGCUUGUUAUUGUUGAAUUCAGGCACGUAUAUUGUGAUUGGGUUUACGCUCGGUCAUAUAUGCGCUGUUUCCUGUCUAAUCUGGUAUCAACUUUACUGGCGGUUUGUCUGCAAUUGCCAUGAUAGCCUCUUGUGCGAUAGUGCGGUCUGCAAGCAUUAGCAGUGAGUAGGUCGGCUUUCCACACGCGUUGAAUUAUCGUUCGUGCAAAUGCGAUUAGUUAUGAUUCAACGCCUAAGAGAAUGGCGAAAGCUAUUUCUGAAUCAAAGGCAGUGUAAACAACACAGACAACACGAAGCACACACGCGCGCGCGCACACACACACACACACACGCAACAACAUGGCGAAAACUCAUCUUUCGUUCUUCGUGACACUGAUGUGUGUGUUUGUCACUGAUGGGUGUGAGUGUGUCUAUGCGUAAGUGUGUGUGUGUUUGGCUGAAAAUCACACUGUAUGACUCGAAAGGUGUGUGUUGUGUGCAGUUUUUACGAACUCGUGCAACAGGCAUCGGCGGUAACGCAAACAAGGCUCUGAGGAUCGAGUUGGUCGGGCUGUAUGCUGGAUACUUUCAUGAGUUUGUAUCUAUGCUGGACCUUUUUCUUUCUGUGUCAAGAGUGUUAACGCACGCUUGCACACAGAGUAUAGAUUGAGGAUCGGCAUGGAUCGCUCGUUUGUUGACGGCUACAGCUGCGUUGGUGGCACAUUUGAUAGGCAACUAGCGGAUGUGUUAUCAUUUCAAGACGUCAUCGGCCAACAACUAACGAUCGAAUCAGAACUCAAGCUCUCGCAGAAAAUAGUGAAUCAGUUUCAUCUGGUAAAGCGAAUGAUUAGAGGCCUUGGGAGCGAAACGCUCUCAACCUAUUCUCAAACUUUAAAUGGGUGAGAUGUACGACGUACUUAAUUGACGCCGUAUUCACAUAGAAUGUAUUGAGAGCUUAGUGGGCCAUUUUUGGUAAGCAGAACUGGCGAUGCGGGAUGAACCGAAAGUGAAGUUAAGGUUGCCGAUAAUGGUGCUAACAAUGUGUGCACUAGCUACACUCAUGAGAUCCCAUGAAAGGUGUAAGUUGCUAAAGACAGCAAGGACGUGGCCAUGGAAGUCGGAAACAUCUAAGGAGUGUGUAACAACUCACUUGCCGAAGCAACUUGCCCUGAAAAUGGAAGCAGCUCGAGUGUUGAACCUAUACUUGACUCUAGUUAAGUAUCGAGUCGAUCGGUCUUGAUUAGGCCAGACUCUGGGAGCGUGCGCGCGUCCCAGUAUUACAAAAAGCAAUGACGGCAAAGUGAAAUCAAAUCAUAUGUGAUCUGAGGUCUAUAAAAAUGGCCUACAGCGCAACAUAUGCCCACUCGUAUGGUUAUACGCGCAAGUGUUAGCCGGGUGGAGCAAAGAGAUACUUGACUGGUAUUCUCUCACUUGGCCGUACCCAUAUCCGCAGCAGGUCUCCAAGGUUAACAGCCUCUGGUCACUUAGGAUAAUGUAGGUAAGGGAAGUCGGCAAAACGGAUCCGUAACUUCGGGAUAAGGAUUGUGAAGAGACAUGAGAGGUGUAGCAUAGGUGGGAGAUGCGGCGUAAAAGUUGUAUCGCAAGUGAAAUACCACUACUUUCAUUGUUUCUUUACUGA